ensembl:lncRNA
GGUAGACAGGCUUCGGUGGCAUUUGCUCCAGCAUUUAAUAGAGAUAAGUCUAGUACACAAAUAGACGUCAUACAAGAUAGGAUGUGACUGAGUAACAGGAGACAGAAAAAAUGCUGCAGGAAUUUAGAAAUUCUUGUUUGAGAUAUGGAGCCUGUAGUUACAGAGGGCUGACUGGACUGCCUUUUGGAAACAAAAAGUUCCCUUCUGAGUCUUGCCUGCUGGGGAAGUUCCUCAUUGCUGAGAGUAGCAGUUAAAAAAGCUGUCAGACACGUGGCUGGGCUCCUGUUUCUGCACAGGCAGGCUGAGUAACAACUUGGUGGUGUGGAUCCAGGUAGAAACUGGCCAGCGUUCUGAAUCUGCCUUGCAGCCUGCUGGGAUGCUCAGUUUAGACAACAUAUAAAGUUUCCUGGAUACAGGACAAACCCAGGCCUAUGGAAAGAGCAGGAAGGUUAAAGUGUGUGGUACUUUGAGCAGUGACGAGGGCGUAACCAGGGAGCUGACGUGUUUGCUUCAAUGCCAAGAAUUCCAGGACAAUUUGUUAUUCAACCAAAGCCUGUGUAGUUGCUACAAAAAAGAAGCCUGGGGACAUAUCUUUUCCUUGUUUUUGUCUUCCUGCAUAUCCAUUCUAUUCUCUAGUGCUAUGGUAAAGAUUGCUGACAUCAAAAACAAUGUCUGAUGCUGUUUGCUAUUCUCUUUCUUGCAAGAGAAUAAGGGGCAGGGCUCUGGUCAAAACGUGGCUCUUAUGUGCUGAAAGUAUCAGCUUCUUGAAAGGGCUUGACAAAUGCUAACAUACUCCAAGAAACCAUGGUUGGAAGGGCUUAGGAAAAUCCUAGGUUUUAUCAGGAAUUAUUUUGCCAGAUUAAGCCUAGCCUGAGGGCAUCAAUUACCUUCUUUCUUUUUCUUAAAAUUUUAUUAAAUGAGAAAUAAAAACUGACCUGUCUGAUGUGCCAAAACCCAAGUAGUUAUGGGACUAGUAUCCCAGAACCUCACAGGCAGGUGUGUGAACGGGUUAAGAAUUGUUCAUCAGCUUGUUUCAGCACUGGUAGUAUUCUGGAGAAGGAAAUGGCAUCCCACUCCAGUAUUUUUGCCUGGAGAAUUCGUGGACAGAGGAGCCUGGCAGGCUACAGUCUAUGGGGUCCAAGAGUCGGACGCAGCUAAGUGACUAAGCACACACACACUAUUCUCAGGGCUUCUUUCAGGAGCCCAGGUGGGUGUUUUUCAGUGGGUCAAAUAUAUAGUCAGUGGUUAUAAAUUGUUAUUUGAAAAGCAUUUUGGGGCAGCAUUAUCAAGUUUGCUGGUAAGGAGCGAUGAAAAGCCUGAGUCUGACCUGACACUGACAAACUCCACUCACAGUGUUCCAGUGUACUCUCUUAUUUACUCUUUGAAUUUGCUCUAUGCAAAAAUCUCAACUGGGUUUUGCAGUGUUUUUAAAAUUGGGAUUUAUUGUUAAUUAUAUACAGUUCAGAAAAUACCUGGUAAUGGCAGAAGAAAAAAAUCCGUGAUCCCAUCACCCAUGUUCAACACUGGUGUUUCUAUGUAUAAUCUUCUCUUACAAAAAUUUUUUUCUACAUUGUAGUGGUUUUCUGUUUAUAUGUAUUUUUUGUAUUCUGAUUUUUUUUUCAGCGUAGCUCAAAUAUUUUUCCUGUAUUACUGCAUACUCUAUAAAUACCAAUCGUAAUAGCAGCAUGCUGUUCCAUUGUCUUGAGUUUACUUCUCCCCAUUGAAAAUGUUUGUUUUGCAAAAGAUUUUUCUAGGCUAUUUAUAAGACAGAUUUCUCUGUCCCCCUAAUGUAUUAUAUCUGUCUCUAAAAUUUAAAUGGCUGUUUCAAACCACUUAGUCUUUGUAAUUAAAAUGUUCAAAGGAAAUAUAAGUCUCUCCCAAAAGCAUAGUUAAUGACAUCAUUCUGGCACACACGUUUGCAAAUUGGAAAGCUCCUUUUGGCUGACAUGUCCAUGUUACUGGCCCUGGUGCCAGUGAAAAAGUUUAUUGGCCCUUAGCAAAGCCUUUCUCAAGAGAAUUCUAGUUAUGCUAUUUUAAAGUUUUGGAACUCUGUGUCUUAAGACAGAUUUACCCAGUAGAUUGUCUCAAAGCUGUUGAGAUUUCUCUUUCUUAACUAGCUGGGCUAUGAGGUGUCUUUUAGGAAGAGUAGAGGCAGGGAAUAUAAUCUCUCUUCUGGCACAGGCACUCUGGGUGACCUUUAAAAAGGCAUUCUGCUUUUCUGGACCUCAGUUUCCACAUUACUUCAGUUUCCAUAUCGUCAAAGACGAGAUUGAAUUAGAAAGAAAAAUAAGGUUCUUCCCAGCUUGAAUAUUUUCAGAUUUUUUUCCUAGGCAAUUUGUUUUAAUCACAAUAGCCCUGCUUUCACAUUUAUAUUUUUCUAUAGUCAGCUGCUCAGUCACUGCAAGAGGGCUCUUCUAGCAAGCUCCCUGCCCCUAGAUUUCAUUUGGACUUGAGUGAAGUAUGUUGGAGACCAGUGCACUAACUCGUUGAGGACUUUCCAAG